UGUAUAGAUGUUUCGAUCACGGGUCAGGAGGAACGCUGGCGGCGUGCCUAACACAUGCAAGUCGAGCGAGCUGGAGGUCAGAAUCCAGAGGGCAGAAUGAUAAAAAAAUGAAAGAAAUCGCCUCUCGCGAUUUCAACAUUGAAAUCUGCUUUCCGGUUUCUGGCUUCUAGUUAGCGGCGGAUGGGUGAGUAACGCGUGGGCAACCUGCCCUGUACAGGGGGAUAACAAUGGGAAACCAUUGCUAAUACCCCAUGACGCCUUUAGGGGGCAUCCCCUUAAGGCCAAAGAAAUUCGGUAUAGGAUGGGCCCGCGUUUGAUUAGCCAGUUGGUGGGGUAACGGCUCACCAAAGCAACGAUCAAUAGCCGGCCUGAGAGGGUGAACGGCCACACUGGAACUGAGACACGGUCCAGACUCCUACGGGAGGCAGCAGUGGGGAAUAUUGCACAAUGGGGGAAACCCUGAUGCAGCAACGCCGCGUGAGCGAUGAAGGUUUUCGAAUCGUAAAGCUCUGUCCUAAGGGAAGAUAAUGACGGUACCUUAGGAGGAAGCCCCGGCUAACUACGUGCCAGCAGCCGCGGUAACACGUAGGGGGCAAGCGUUAUCCGGAAUUAUUGGGCGUAAAGGGUGCGUAGGCGGCCUUAUGGGUCAGAGGUUAAAUACUAUAGCUUAACUAUAGUCCGCCUUUGAAACUAUAAGGCUUGAGUGCAGGAGAGGAGAGUGGUAUUCCUAGUGUAGCGGUGAAAUGCGUAGAUAUUAGGGAGGAAUACCAGUGGCGAAGGCGACUCUCUGGACUGCAACUGACGCUAAGGCACGAAAGCGUGGGUAGCGAACAGGAUUAGAUACCCUGCUAGUCCACGCCAUAAACGAUGAGUGCUAUGUGUUGGGGGUCAAACCUCGGUGCCGCAGCUAACGCAUUAAGCACUCCGCCUGGGGAGUACGUUCGCAAGAAUAAAACUCAAAGGAAUUGACGGGGACCCGCACAAGCAGCGGAGCAUGUGGUUUAAUUCGAAGCAACGCGAAGAACCUUACCUGGAUUUGACAUCCCUCUGACCGUCUCCUAAUCGAGACCUUUCCUUCGGGGACAGAGGAGACAGGUGGUGCAUGGUUGUCGUCAGCUCGUGUCGUGAGAUGUUGGGUUAAGUCCCGCAACGAGCGCAACCCCUAUUUUUAGUUGCCAUCAGGUAAAGCUGGGCACUCUAAAGAGACCGCCAAGGUAAACUUGGAGGAAGGUGGGGACGACGUCAAAUCAUCAUGCCCCUUAUGUCCAGGGCUACACACGUGCUACAAUGGCCGAUACAACGGGCAGCUAAGGAGCAAUCCGGAGCAAAUCCUAAAAAAUCGGUCCCAGUUCGGAUUGUGGGCUGCAAUUCGCCCAUAUGAAGUCGGAGUUGCUAGUAAUCGUGAAUCAGAAUGUCGCGGUGAAUGCGUUCCCGGGUCUUGUACACACCGCCCGUCACACCACGGAAGUCGGAAGCACCCGAAGCCAGCUACUUAACCGUAAGGAUGGGGCUGUCGAAGGUGAAGCCAAUGACUGGGGUGAAGUCGUAACAAG
rnacentral:rRNA from 1 species